CUUGGUUGGAACCCAGAUACAGUCUUGUAAAGACGAACCCUUUCUUGCUGCUAUCCCUUUACAUAAACGAAUACUAGAAAUGGAGACUGUUUUAUGCAAAGAAAACUCUUACUUGACAAGACACAAGAUCCACGAUUAGACUUCCUGUUCUACAAAACGUCCCAAUAUGCAUGGAACUGGUAACAUCAGUACCACUAGAGAGCCUGGAGCUUGCCUUUCUGUAAAAGUAAGACAGCUUUUGUUCAAUAUUUUUUG
rnacentral:lncRNA from 1 species